AUAUUUAACGUGAACUUUAUUUGGUGCAUUCUACACCUAGCCAUGUACUCAUUAUAAGUACUACUGUAACUUAAUACCUUUGACAUUGUAGGAAUAACGGCUUUAGGUAGUGUACUUUAAUAGAAGACUGAUUACUUGUAGACAAGGUCGACAAAGUAGCAAUCUAUUUUGAGAAGACUGAUUACUUGUGUCAGUGCUGAUACCUGCAUGUCGCCACAAUGGACUUUUUCAGUUUUAGUAAGUCUACAUGUUUGUGAAGAUUGUGGUGCUGUUUCCAUGUGCAAUUUUUAUGGGUCAAAAACUAUUUUGUUGAAGGGAAUGAGGUAACGGGUGAUAUAAGAAGGGCUAACUUCAAAGUGAUAGAAUGACCUCAAAACAGUGAAUUUACUUUGUCAUUGGC
rnacentral:lncRNA from 1 species